rnacentral:rRNA from 1 species
CACGUAGGGCGCAAGCGUUGUCCGGAAUUAUUGGGCGUAAAGAGCUCGUAGGUGGUCUGUUGCGUCCGCUGUGAAAACUCGGGGCUUAACCCCGAGCCUGCAGUGGAUACGGGCAGACUAGAGGUAGGUAGGGGAGAAUGGAAUUCCUGGUGUAGCGGUGAAAUGCGCAGAUAUCAGGAGGAACACCGGUGGCGAAGGCGGUUCUCUGGGACGGUACUGACGCUGAGACGCGAAAGCGUGGGGAGCAAACAGG